CGUUGAGCUAACCGCAAGGAGGCAGGCGACCACAGUGGGUUUAGCGACUGGGGUGAAGUCGUAACAAGGUAGCCGUAGGGGAACCUGCGGCUGGAUCACCUCCUUUCUAAGG
rnacentral:rRNA from 1 species